rnacentral:rRNA from 1 species
AGUGAACGCUGGCGGUAGGCCUAACACAUGCAAGUCGAACGGCAGCACAGUAAGAGCUUGCUCUUACGGGUGGCGAGUGGCGGACGGGUGAGGAAUACAUCGGAAUCUACUUUUUCGUGGGGGAUAACGUAGGGAAACUUACGCUAAUACCGCAUACGACCUACGGGUGAAAGCAGGGGAUCUUCGGACCUUGCGCGAUUGAAUGAGCCGAUGUCGGAUUAGCUAGUUGGCAGGGUAAAGGCCCACCAAGGCGACGAUCCGUAGCUGGUCUGAGAGGAUGAUCUGCCACACUGGAACUGAGACACGGUCCAGACUCCUACGGGAGGCAGCAGUGGGGAAUAUUGGACAAUGGGCGCAAGCCUGAUCCAGCCAUACCGCGUGGGUGAAGAAGGCCUUCGGGUUGUAAAGCCCUUUUGUUGGGAAAGAAAAGCAGCAGGUUAAUACCCCGCUGUUCUGACGGUACCCAAAGAAUAAGCACCGGCUAACUUCGUG